rnacentral:rRNA from 1 species
UACGAAGGGUGCAAACGUUGCUCGGAAUCACUGGGCGUAAAGGGCGCGUAGGCGGCUUUAUAAGUCGGGGGUGAAAGCCUGUGGCUCAACCACAGAAUUGCCUUCGAUACUGUAGAGCUUGAGACCGGAAGAGGUAAGUGGAACUGCGAGUGUAGAGGUGAAAUUCGUAGAUAUUCGCAAGAACACCAGUGGCGAAGGCGGCUUACUGGUCCGGUUCUGACGCUGAGGCGCGAAAGCGUGGGGAGCAAACAGG